ACAAAAACAGUGAUAAGGAAGAGUAGAUGUGAAGCUGCUUUAAGAGAGAAGAACCCAUUGGUUGAAAGGUUCUUUAGGUAAGAGACAUUGAAAACCACCUUUGAGUUGAAUACUGAAAUUAUAGUAAGUAUAUCCGUUUCCUGCGUUAAGGGGUUUAGAGAUAACAGUAGAUAUACAGUAGAAAAAUUUUAUUUUCUUUAUUGUAUAGCUUUAAUAAUCAUUGCCUAAAUAAGGCUUAGAUGCUGUUGAAGUUGGGUGGAACCGCGAAAUAACACUCGUCCCAUAU
rnacentral:ncRNA from 1 species